CCUACGGGAGGCAGCAGUGAGGAAUAUUGGACAAUGGAGGCAACUCUGAUGCAGCCAUGCCGCGCGCAGGAAGACUGCCUUAUGGGUUGUAAACUGCUUUUAUAUGGGAAGAAUAAGGCCUACGUGUAGGUUGAUGACGGUACCAUAAGAAUAAGCACCGGCUAACUCCGUGCCAGCAGCCGCGGUAAUACGGAGGGUGCAAGCGUUAUCCGGAAUCAUUGGGUUUAAAGGGUCCGUAGGCGGGCAUAUAAGUCAGUGGUGAAAUGCUGUGGCUCAACCAUAGCACUGCCAUUGAUACUGUAUGUCUUGAAUUAUUGUGAAGUGGUUAGAAUAUGUAGUGUAGCGGUGAAAUGCUUAGAUAUUACAUAGAAUACCGAUUGCGAAGGCAGAUCACUAACAAUAUAUUGACGCUGAUGGACGAAAGCGUAGGUAGAGAACAGGAUUAGAUACCCUGGUAGUCUACGCCGUAAACGAUGGAUACUAGUUGUUUGGCUUUCGAGCUGAGUGACUAAGCGAAAGUGAUAAGUAUCCCACCUGGGGAGUACGUUCGCAAGAAUGAAACUCAAAUGAAUUGACGG
rnacentral:rRNA from 1 species